CGAACGGGUGAGUAAUGCGUGACCAACCUGCCCCAUGCUCCAGAAUAGCUCUUGGAAACGGGUGGUAAUGCUGGAUGCUCCAACUUGACGCAUGUCUUGUUGGGAAAGUGUUUAGUGGCAUGGGAUGGGGUCGCGUCCUAUCAGCUUGUAGGCGGGGUAAUGGCCCACCUAGGCUUCGACGGGUAGCCGGCCUGAGAGGGCGGACGGCCACAUUGGGACUGAGACACGGCCCAAACUCCUACGGGAGGCAGCAGAU
rnacentral:rRNA from 1 species